UGCGCAGGCGGUGAUGUAAGACCGAUGUGAAAUCCCCGGGCUUAACCUGGGAACUGCAUAGGUGACUGCAUUGCUGGAGUAUGGCAGAGGGGGGUGGAAUUCCACGUGUAGCAGUGAAAUGCGUAGAGAUGUGGAGGAACACCGAUGGCGAAGGCAGCCCCCUGGGCCAAUACUGACGCUCAUGCACGAAAGCGUGGGGAGCAAACA
rnacentral:rRNA from 1 species